GGUUUAGGUAGUUUCAUGUUGUUGGGGCUCCACCUUUCUCUCUACAGCACGAAACUGCCUUAAUUACUUCAGUUG